UACGGAGGGUGCAAGCGUUAUCCGGAUUCACUGGGUUUAAAGGGUGCGUAGGCGGGCAGGUAAGUCCGCGGUGAAAUCUCUGAGCUUAACUCAGAAACUGCCAUGGAUACUAUUUGUCUUGAAUAUUGUGGAGGCAAGCGGAAUAUGUCAUGUAGCGGUGAAAUGCUUAGAUAUGACAUAGAACACCCAUUGCGAAGGCAGCUUGCUACACAAUGAUUGACGCUGAGGCACGAAAGCGUGGGGAUCAAACAGG
rnacentral:rRNA from 1 species